rnacentral:rRNA from 1 species
AUGGCACACAUCGUGUCUCUCGGCGUCGACCACAGUCACGGCCAGGAGAUGCUGGAGGACGGCCAGAUCUUCCUCAACGAGCAAGGCGCCUCCGUCACCCUCGGCGACGCCGACAACACUCAACGCGACGAUCUGUGGUAUGUGGACACAGGUGCGUCAAACCACAUGACUGGUGACCGUGGUGCUUUCUCUGAGCUGGACACAGGGAUCACUGGGCGUGUCCGGUUCGGGGACGGCUCGGCCGUCCAGAUUCAGGGGCGCGGCACCGUGCUCUUCGUGGCUCAAGAUGGCCGCCACCGCGUCCUCUCCAACGUCUACUUCAUCCCGCGGCUACAGACGAACAUCAUCUCGGUGGGUCAGCUCGACGAGGUCGGCUGCGAAGUGUCAAUCCAUGGUGGCAUCCUGCGAGUGCGUGACAGGCGUGGCAAUCUCAUUGCGCGCGUGGUCCGGAGCGGCAACCGGCUGUACAAGCUGCCGGUGAAGCUGGCCAAGCCGGUGUGCAUGGCUGCUCGCGUCGACAGGGUGGCCUGGACAUGGCAUGAGCGGUAUGGACAUCUGAAUUUUGAUGCUCUCCGUAGGCUCGCUGCAUCAGGCAUGGUGCGUGGGAUGCCUUCAAUUCAUCAGGUGGACCAGGUGUGCGAUGGUUGUCUGCUAGGCAAGCAACGUCGAAACUCCUUUCCGCGGCAAGCACACUAUCGCGCCGACGAUCGCCUGGACCUGGUGCACGGAGACCUGUGCAGGCCGAUCUCUCCACCCACGCAUGGUGGGAAGCGUCAUUUUCUUCUGCUGGUUGAUGAUAUGAGCAGGUACAUGUGGCUCACACUGCUGUGGUCGAAGGAUGAAGCAGCCGACGCCAUCAAGCGUUUCAAGGCCGGAGUUGAAGCUGAGACAGGACGCAAGCUGCGUACGCUGCGCACAGACAGAGGAUGCGAGUUCACUUCGGUGGAGUUCGCCGCGUACUGUGCUGGAGAGGGGACGCAGCGCCACCUCACCGCGCCAUACUCUCCGCAGCAGAACGGGGUGGUGGAGCGUAGGAACCAGACGAUCAUCUCCAUGGCGAGGUGUCUUCUCAAGGCGCGGCGAGUACCAAAUGAGUUUUGGGGGGAGGCAGUCACCACGGCUGUACUUCUGCUCAACCGCUCACCGACGCAAGCUCUGGACGGGAUGACGCCUUACGAGGCGUGGCAUGGAGCGAGGCCAGCAGUGCACUACCUCAGGACGUUUGGGUGCGUCGCCUACGCCAAGUCCACUCGUCCACACGCCGGCAAGCUCGACGACCGCGGCACCAAGUGCGUCUUCAUCGGCUAUGAGGCAGGGACGAAGGCCUACAAGCUGUUUGACCCGGUGCAGAACCGGGUGAUCAUCUCGCGUGAUGUCGUAUUUGACGAGGCGUCAAGCUGGGACUGGAAAGCCGGCGGUGGUGACGGCGGGUUCACCCUUGAGCACGAGGUACACACUUCCUGGGAUGGUGUGGAGAACACUGCAGGACAAGGCGCGGCCAUGACAAGCACGAGCGCGACACCAUCCAGAACAGCCGACAAGAUGGCGGACCCGGCGACGCCCACAAGCGCUGCGGUGGUGACUGAAUCACCAGAGAACCGUUUUCCUGACUCACCUAGCAGUGAAGCUCCAGCUGUCGAUCCAAGCCCGGUGAAUGCUGCCAUGGCAGCGAAGCAGGCUGUUGCAGCCCCUGGAGGGCGACAUGUGGGCCUGAAAGCAAGUUGGCCCACCUGUCAGUGA